CCUUCGAUAGCUCAGUUGGUAGAGCGGAGGACUGUAGGUUGCACAACUAGGUAUCCUUAGGUCGCUGGUUCGAAUCCGGCUCGAAGGA
rnacentral:tRNA from 1 species